rnacentral:rRNA from 1 species
CACGUAGGGGGCGAGCGUUGUCCGAAGUUACUGGGCGUAAAGCGCGCGUAGGCGGGGGAUUAAGUGAGAGGUGAAAGGCUGGGGCUCAACCUCAGUAGUGCCUCUCAUACUGGUCUUCUUGAGGGCGGUAGGGAGAAGUGGAAUGGCUGGUGUAGCGGUGAAAUGCGCAGAUAUCAGGAGGAACACCGGUGGCGAAGGCGGGUCUCUGGGCCGAUACUGACGCUGAGGAGCGAAAGCGUGGGGAGCGAACAGG